ACUUGUAUAGUUUAAUGGUUAAAACGAUUGCCUCAUAUGCAAUAGCUAUUAGGUUCAACUCCUAUUACAGGUA
rnacentral:tRNA from 1 species